rnacentral:tRNA from 1 species
UCCCUCAUAGCUCAGUUGGUAAAGAAUCUGCCUGCAAUGCAGGAGACCCAGGUUUGAUUCCUGGGUAGGGAA